rnacentral:rRNA from 1 species
CCUACGGGUGGCAGCAGUGGGGAAUAUUGGGCAAUGGGCGAAAGCCUGACCCAGCAACGCCGCGUGAAGGAAGAAGGCUUUCCGGUUGUAAACUUCUUUUGACAGGGAAGAGCAGAAGACGGUACCUGUCGAAUAAGCCACGGCCACCUACGUGCCAGCAGCCGCGGUAAUACGUAGGUGGCAAGCGUUGUCCGGAUUUACUGGGGGUAAAGGGCGUGUAGCCUGGCUGACAAGUCAGAUGUGAAAUCCGGGGGCUCAACCCCCGUACUGCAUUUGAAACUGUUGGUCGUGAGUAUCGGAGAGGCAGGCGGAAUUCCUAGUGUAGCGGUGAAAUGCAUAGAUAUUAGGAGGAACACCAGUGGCGAAGGCGGCCUACUGGAGGACAACUGACGGUGAGGCGAGAAAGCGUGGGGAGCAAACAGGAUUAGAUACCCGGGUAGUC